AUGUUUUUCCCCGCCGCAAAACUUUUUAUUGGGUACCUUGUACAGUGACAUUGAAGGUUUUUCACUUGGGCACCCAGGAAUACAGCACAUCCAUGAAGUCAUGUUAUAAUAAUUCAGCAGACAGUAUAUAGAACUUUUUAUAUUAUAUGAUACAACUAGCUUAUUCAAAUAGCAU